rnacentral:tRNA from 1 species
GCCGCGGUGGUGAAAUUGGCAAACACGUAAGACUUAAAAUCUUAUGGGUCUUUGACUCUUGUGGGUUCAAGUCCCACCCGCGGCA